UACGUAGGGGGCAAGCGUUGUCCGGAUUUAUUGGGCGUAAAGAGCGUGUAGGCGGCUUGGAAGGUCAGCUGUGAAAACUCGAGGCUCAACCUCGAGACGUCGGUUGAAACCACCUGGCUAGAGUCCGGAAGAGGAGAGUGGAAUUCCCGGUGUAGCGGUGAAAUGCGCAGAUAUCGGGAAGAACACCCGUGGCGAAGGCGGCUCUCUGGGACGGUACUGACGCUGAGACGCGAAAGCAUGGGGAGCGAACGGG
rnacentral:rRNA from 1 species